UCCGAAUUGGUGUAAUGGCUAACAUUUGGUGGUCUCAUAAUAUAUCAACCAAUAUAUUCAGUGAUCCGCCAAGCCCGGGGUUCGAUUCCUCGAUUCGGAG